rnacentral:misc_RNA from 1 species
CGUUCCUCUGAGCCGCAGCACACGCCACGUGGCGCGGCCACCCGCACGUGCCCGCACCUCUUUCCCCACCCCACCCCGCCCCCGUCAUCCUCCUUCCACGCUCACCACCGCCAUACGCAAGGGCUUCAACCAGGGGACACACACGCACGGAAAAGCAAGACGAUGGCGACGACAUCGUCGCAGCUCUUCUACUUUUUUUCUCACGCUCGCUUAGCAGCCUCCGUCCUUUUCUCCUCGCGAAAAUCACUGCCUUUCCACGUUUCACCAUGACAGACACAAAUCACCACCGUCGCUCCGUCACGGACAACAGGCGCAACGAAACAGCAGAGUUGUCCUUGUGCGGCCACCUCCUUGACCUCCCUCACGACGAUGCUGGGCCACCCCACCGUGCUAUCACCGGGCCCAGCGCCCACCCUUCGUGCUGACGGACAAGGGCUGUGCUCGAGCUGUGCCGCAGAAAUCCACCAGUCGCCAUCAUGACGCUUGCGCCCACUGCUGUCAAAGACGUGCAGAUGCAAGAGAGGGAGGAGUACCCCACGCCGCCACAGACUCAUGGCAGCGUCCAACCUGCCGAGGCACAUGCGGGGAAGCCAUCCAGGCGCACGCCCCUCAUGACCUCGGCGGACGUGGAAGAUGGAGACAGCGUCCUCCGCACCCCCAGACAACAGCGCCGUCCUGAAGCUGGCCGCGUGAGGCGCAAAAUGCGAGCACCGCGCGCGCGCUGCCAAGCACAGCUUGCAUGGUGCCUCACGCCCAGACAAGGCAUCGAGAGGUGAGAGGAGCACGAAUGAUGGACGGAAAAGACGCGAAGAGAUCCACACCAAUCAGCCCAAAGGUGCAUGCGCGCGAAAUACGCGGCAUCUCCCACGUCCGACCGGGUGGGCUGAUGAGGCACAGGCGCCGGAAGCGUGACGAGAGCAUGCCGAAUGGCGCCAGCGAGUCCUCCAGAUUCCCGUGUGGCGAGCCGCCGCGCCAUAUUAUGGGGUGCCGCGGCUUGGGGCGACUGAGGGCGGAGGCGUGGCAUGCAGGCAGGGCACAGGGGCUCAGAGGGCCCUUACCGGCGCCUGGCCAGCUUCCCCCUUGAGCUCAUCCGGCAUGCGCCCGGACCACCCGCUAUUGCCCGCGCGACAGACGCCACCGCUUCCGCCCCCUCCCCCUGGAGCAGGGCCCUGAAGGCGGCCCACUCGGAUCGAGGCGUGCCCGCGAGGCACAUGACCUCGAUUUGGCGGCAGACGGCUCGUCCUGGGCGGCCAGGAGAUUCAGCCGCAGUGCAGCAGAGGCAGGUGAGCUGUGGUUGUGUGUAUGCGUCUAUUGGUUGGCACGUUCGUGGGUGGAGCGGACGCGUUGGAGCGCCAACGCGCGUGCAUUCGUUCUCGGCCAUACAGCACCGGCCACACGCGACACUGCACCCCCGCCCCACACAUCCGCGCCGUGCGCAGAGGCAGCAGCAGACACACGCCAGCACAGCAGUGCGCCGACUCAGUCAGCUGAGCACGGCCGCCGCCUCACACUCUACGCAGACCCUCUCUGCCGGUCGCCACCUGCUGCGCCCCUCGGGGGUGUCCCAGGCCCCCACCCACCCACCCCACACACACACACCAGUAGGCAGUGAGCGUCGGGCGGGAUGCGCUCGAGUCACGCGGAGGCUUCGCCCAUCACAUGGAUGACACAAGCGUGUGCGCUGUCGCAGGUCGCUCUGGCCUCUCUGCGUCGUGGGCACGGGAACCCCCGCCACCACCCGAAGUGGUUCGGCAUGGGCAGGGCUGGAAAAAAAACGAGGAGGGGGAGGGCUGCUUUGGCUUCCCACCCACACCCACACACAGAAUGGGUGGUGUGCGUGUGCAGUGGAGCCUGUGAUACGGCUGCACGGAAGAGCGUGUGCUCACCUGGUCAUCAGGAGAGAGGGGAAGGGUGGCCAAGUCGCACGUGCAUGAGAAAACGGACAUGGCAUAUGUGUUAAGAAUGGAAAACAUCUCAGUCACACAAGAACGACAACAACAGUACGAAAAUACGCCACCAAACGAAAAAAAGAUGGAGGCGGAUAAGGAGCUCGAGUAUAAAACGCGUGUUGGCGAGGGUGUACCCAACAAGGGUUGAAGAGGGGGACGUAAGAUGAUGCUUCAAUCAUGUUACCGCGAGUAGCUGUGAGCUGUGGUGGGCUGUACUGCUUGAACUCCAUACGUCUCUCUCCACAGCAUCCUUCCUUCUGUCUCACCUCCUCUGUGUCCUCCUCGCGUAGGACUUGCCCCCCCCCUCCCCUUCCCUUAUUGCUCACUACCAAAG